rnacentral:rRNA from 1 species
AGCGAAUGCUGGCGGCAGGCUUAACACAUGCAAGUCGAACGGGCACUUCGGUGUCAGUGGCAGACGGGUGAGUAACACGUGGGAACGUACCUUUUGGUUCGGAACAACUGAGGGAAACUUCAGCUAAUACCGGAUAAGCCCUUACGGGGAAAGAUUUAUCGCCGAAAGAUCGGCCCGCGUCUGAUUAGCUAGUUGGUAGGGUAAUGGCCUACCAAGGCGACGAUCAGUAGCUGGUCUGAGAGGAUGAUCAGCCACAUUGGGACUGAGACACGGCCCAAACUCCUACGGGAGGCAGCAGUGGGGAAUAUUGGACAAUGGGGGCAACCCUGAUCCAGCCAUGCCGCGUGAGUGAUGAAGGCCCUAGGGUUGUAAAGCUCUUUUGUACGGGAAGAUAAUGACGGUACCGUAAGAAUAAGCCCCGGCUAACUUCGUGCCAGCCGCCGCGGUAA